rnacentral:piRNA from 1 species
AGAAAGUCUGUCUGUGUAGGACAUAGUACC